ensembl:lncRNA
CUAGGCAUGUAUUCAUGUACUGUACAUUCAUUCAGACAACCCAUUAAAUAGUGUUUGUUAACCUUUAAUUCAGAUGUCUGCAAUAAGAUAAUACAAUGUAAAACACAAGUCAAUGGAGGGUCGUAAAGCUGUUUCUGCUACAGUUUUUAUUAGCCUGUUAUUCAGUGCUGAAUGCAGCUACACCCUGAAGCAAGUCUUGUAUAAAAGUACAAUGUCAAUAUAUUAUGAUACAAACUCAACCUAUAAAAUCAAUGACAAGUAUUAUGUCUGUUGCUAUCACCUACUAAAAUAUAGAUACUGUUUUUAAUGGAUGCAGUGGUGCUAGGCUCAACAUCAUUGUGCUAUUAAACUUAACCCCUUAGGCAUGAAACACAUAGGGCUUCUGGACAAGGACUGCUCAUUGUAGGGUGCUACAGCAAUCAAGGCAGCAUAUGUAAGCAUAGGAAUAUGUAUGAAUUAAAUUCCUUCUAAAAGGCUGUUGAAGGAAAACAGAAUUCCAAUCUACACAGUGGUGUGAUAAUCAAUUGCAUUCUUCUUAAUAAGGUUAAUUUGCAAGAACCAUUAAUCCUGCUAAUCAAACAUUUGUAUUUCAUUAACAAGUGAAUAGAAUGUGUAUUGUAAGAUUUGAAAAUGGCAUCAAACUGAAAAGGAUUUCAAAUUUUUUGGAAAAUACUGUUAGACUUCGGAGCAGUAAAUUGCAAGAAGACUCUGAAAUCAUGUGAUAUAAUUUAAUAUGAAUAACUUCAAAGUAGAGAUAUUCUCCCCACUACCCCAAUUUGACUGCAUGAGUAGAAAUGAGGUAGUAACUGGAAGCGAUAGGCUACAGAUAUGUAGCAAACAAACAGAAUAAUUCUACUCUAAAAAAAAAAAAGUUGCCCUUUAACAUACCAGUAAAAUAGUUGAAUGUAAGACCAGAAGUAAAUACUGCUCUCUACUAAACACUAGAGAGAUUGCAACAUGAAUAAUAUAUUCUGUUUUGAGUAGCACAGGUUAAAAAUAGGAAAGAAACAAAGGCGGGGUAGAAACUCCAGAAAGGGGUAAGAAAAUGGGACACCAUAAGGAAAAGAUGAUCUGUAAAGACAGAUUGUAUGAGAAAAUAAGGAACUAACCUGCAAGUUUGGAGUUUUAGGCUAAAUAUUUUUGGGAUACAGUUUUUGCAUCAAGGAUAGUUCAUUAGAACAGGUCACUUGGAGAUUAGAGGAACGGCUUAGGUAUUGCUAAUAGUCUGUCAAGCCAGAAUUUCUGUAAUUGUGUGAAACCAUUCCUAAAUUGCUUCUUAACUCAGAACUAGUAAACGAAAACCUACAUAGCAAAAAGAAUCUAAGCCCUGUAAAAGUCAUUUUGCAAAAGUAACGCUAUAAAAUGGUGGAAAGUAGGACAAUAACAGUGGGGUGGCUGCAGCACAUGAGAAUAAACUCAAAUGCAGCAGCUGUAGAAACAAAAACAAAAAGCUGCUUACCCUUAGAAGUCCUCAGGUACACAGGAUCUCUAAUAAGAGACCCCACCUCCACUGCCAACAUUUAAAUGAGGUUUGGGAAGGGGUGGAUCCUGGCUCCAGCCCUUCCAAUUACUCAGGUGCGCUGCAUGCAGCUGAGCUCCCCUGGGUUGGCUCUGCCUUCCCACCAGGUGCUCAAUCACUGUUUCAGGCCUUGACUCAGCAUUUCCACUACAGCAAAUUUAUAUUUUAACGACUGUUUAUCUAAAAUAAUGAUGUAACUCUACAAGCAAUACAAGACUUAGAAGAUUUUUAUAAGAUGCAAAUGGCUGUAGCAUUUAGUGCUAUUGCAUGCUGCACCUUUUUGAUUUGUCUUGUUCCUGUAUAAUACACUAUACAGUAUUGCUGGUUGUGGAAGAAAGUGUGUCAUUUCUCACAGUGGUUUAACUACUGAUUGUGCAUUUAUGGAUGCCACAGCUGUUGACUGCUCUACUCUUUCAUUUUCAUAUUUAGCUGAUAGCAGGUUUGUUUGCUAUACACUGUGUUUUAGAUGGUGUGGAAAGUCCAUAUCAUUAUUACAUGAUAUGAAAAUAGUUGUGCAAUAAUUGAUGGAUGAAGUUAUUCAUCAUGAAUAUGAGGUAAUGCAGUAGGGACCAUGAUUUAAUCAUCAGAAGAGAGGGUCUCUGGAGCCCACACAAAGUUAUCAAAGUCAUUCCCAUGAUAAAUAGCAUAUGAUAAGCUGUUUGGGAAACAAUAAUGCAGUCCACAGAAAAAUGUACAUGCAGGAGGCAUACAAAUUCCUUGGAUGGAAAUCAAUUGACUCUGAAGAACUAAAGAAGAGAUAGUCCCAUAAGGAAAAUGAGAGGGAGCAAUGUCCAUAGAUCCAUCACUUUUUUAAAAAAUGAUCUUGCUUUAUAUGCAUAUUUGUUAGGAUUAUAACUUAUUGGCUUGAUUGUCAUUCACAAAGCAUUUUGCUUGCUAUUUAUUUGGAACUAGAAUAAGAGAAUGCUUUUAGGCAUAUAUAGGCUGAAUUGUGACCUUUUCUUUUGUUAUCUCCUUGCACGGACAAUUUUUCUCAGGAUUUUUUUUAUUAAAACACGAUCAUAAACCAAGUCAAGGUAGCAAUUGCACCUUAAUUUCAGCUGCAACGUCUUCUAUUGGAGACAUUAUUAUCCUAGAUGCCCAAUUUUUGUUAGAUGCAGGAGUUCCUCAGUACAAAUCAAAAUUCCAUAUAUGCAGUUUAGAAAGUGAUAGAUAAGAAGGGAAAAAUUAGUAGAGGGAGGGGAAUGAUACUUCUUUCUUUGUAAUAGACUUGCCACAGUUCACUGCUACUAUGUCACUAGUUAUCAAACAUCAGCACUGCUACUAUCACUCCUCCAGGUCUUUGCAUGCCAUCAAGCAAGAGGUGAACAACUGGGACUGAAAGAAGACAAAAUGAUGAGGUUAUCCUGAUGUAAGAAGUUUUAAUGAGAAAAUCACCACAGAUUUCCAGAAACAGUAUAACUAUUACCAAAGUCAUCAGUGAGACUAAAGAAGAGUAAAUGCAUUUCCUCCUGAUCUGCUGCUGUGAUUCACUGCAGAGUAUAUAGGUGUCCUAAGGAGAAGAGUCAUAUCCAUUCCAAGCAGAAAAUAUGUUCCCAAUGUUAUUUUCAGAUUCCCUUCACAGUACCUACUGAUCAAUGCAAGCUUUAUUUUCAGAGAAGCAGUAUGGGGAACAAAGUAUCCACUCCAAAAUAUGAAAAUUCAAAUUGCUUCAUUCCUUUUUCCUGUAAUACCCUCAGGUAGUCCACAAACAGUGACAGUAUUCAGUUCUAGUGUGCCUUUUACCCUGCUGGCACAAAGCCUUUCACAAAACAAGAUUCGCUAUGAUGGCACUCCAAAAAUCUUAAUUACCCCAAAUUGCCCAGCAAAGAGCAGUCCACUCUUACAGGAUCUUGUAAACUCUUUGUUAGGAGAAAGACUGAAACAGACUGAGACACACGCUUCUCACUGUGCAGCAGUCUCAGCUAGUGCUUAGAUAAGGGUACUAUUUGUUUUAUUACAUGCAUUUUCAGGAUCUUUUUAAACACACAGCAUAAAGUUGUGCUUGUGAAUUAAAAAAUAACCACAUAUGUUUCUUUUCUCCUGAAUCUGAAAGUACAACGGAAAUAGUUCAUUUUGCAAAUACUGACUCAAUGGCAUCUCUUGGACCUCUGUUCACAUUUGGCAUAGCUAUAGAGGAGAUAAUUGGAUGCCAGGAACUAUAAGGCACUGUUCUUGAUGUACUAGGCUUGUCAGCCAGGUCUGGGAGACAGAGAGAUAUCAGUACUCUCAAGGACACAUGGAGCUCCACCUGGCAAGGUACAGACAUAUGGUUUCAGAGGAUAUGGAUGCUCAGUGUAUUCCUAUCGAGCAGCCAGCCAUCGUUUGCUCCAGAUAAUCAAAUAUAUUCUUCACUGAGAAGCUGUAAGGCUAGAGCUUACAGCUCUGAAAGAUGAAAAGGGGAAGAGAUUGCUUGGAUGGCAGAUAUAAAAGGUUUUUCUUGUUCUGUCACUGACGCAUUCAGGUCCAUGAAGCAACUCAGCUGCUUUCUGUAAGAAAAAUUGGUACAUUUACAAUUCAGAUAGACACGUAAAGUCUGAAUAAAUACGUAUAUUUGGGGAACUCAGCUAAAGCAGAUAAGAACCACAACAUCUUUUGAAGUAGGCCCAUCACUGAUAAUUAUGAAUGUGAGAUAAUCUACCGUCAUUUAUUCCUGUAAAUAAUGUCAUCUCUUCCAAUUAAGAUCAACUACUUGUAUCUCCUCAUUUGCUUUAUUAGCAUUGUUGUCAAGAUCUGAAAAGCUUUAAUUAAAUAGUCAUCAUAAUUAUGGCUAGUUUCCCAAACGAUCGAAGUAAAUAAUUUAUAUAUAGGUUAUAAGAAAACUUUUUACUUACUGAAAUGUUG